AGGGAUUACCUCAGUAACGGCGAGUGAAGCGGUAAUAGCUCAAAUUUGAAAUCUGGCUCCUUCGGGGCCCGAGUUGUAAUUUGUAGAAGAUGCUUUGGGCGUGGCUCCGGUCUAAGUUCCUUGGAACAGGACGUCAUAGAGGGUGAGAAUCCCGUACGUGACUGGGUGCCUUCGUCCGUGUAAAGCUCUUUCGACGAGUCGAGUUGUUUGGGAAUGCAGCUCAAAAUGGGUGGUAAAUUUCAUCUAAAGCUAAAUAUUGGCCAGAGACCGAUAGCGCACAAGUAGAGUGAUCGAAAGAUGAAAAGCACUUUGGAAAGAGAGUUAAACAGUACGUGAAAUUGUUGAAAGGGAAGCGCUUGCAAUCAGACUUGUGUGCGGUCGAUCAUCCGAGGUUUUCCCCGGUGCACUCGAUCGUACUCAGGCCAGCAUCGGUUUGGGCGGUUGGAUAAAGGCCUUGGGAAUGUGGCUCCUCUCGGGGAGUGUUAUAGCCCUCGGUGCAAUGCAGCCUGUCCGGACCGAGGACCGCGCUUCGGCUAGGAUGCUGGCGUAAUGGUUGUAAGCGACCCGUCUUGAAACACGGACCAAGGAGUCUAACAUCUAUGCGAGUGUUUGGGUGUCAAACCCAUACGCGUAAUGAAAGUGAACGGAGGUGAGAACCCUUAAGGGUGCAUCAUCGACCGAUCCUGAUGUCUUCGGAUGGAUUUGAGUAAGAGCAUAGCUGUUGGGACCCGAAAGAUGGUGAACUAUGCCUGAAUAGGGUGAAGCCAGAGGAAACUCUGGUGGAGGCUCGCAGCGGUUCUGACGUGCAAAUCGAUCGUCAAAUUUGGGUAUAGGGGCGAA
rnacentral:rRNA from 1 species